AUUGAACGCUGGCGGCAGGCCUAACACAUGCAAGUCGAACGAGUGGCGGACGGGUGAGUACUGUCUGGGAAACUGCCUGAUGGAGGGGGAUAACUACUGGAAACGGUAGCUAAUACCGCAUACCAUCGGAUGUGCCCAGAUGGGAUUAGCUAGUAGGUGGGGUAAAGGCUCACCUAGGCGACGAUCCCUAGCUGGUCUGAGAGGUUGACCAGCCAAUCUGGAACUGAGACAGGGUCAGGACUCCUACGGGGGGCAGAAGUGGGGAAUAUUGCACAUGGGGCACAGGCCUGAUGAAGCCAUGCCGCGUGUAUAAAGAAGGCCUUCGGGUUGUAAAGUACUUUCAGCGGGAAGGCGUUACCCGAAGAAGAAGCACCGGCUAACUCCGUGCCAGCAGCCGCGGUAAUAC
rnacentral:rRNA from 1 species